rnacentral:misc_RNA from 1 species
GAUGAAGAACGUAGCGAAAUGCGAUAAGUAAUGUGAAUUGCAGAAUUCAGUGAAUCAUCGAAUCUUUGAACGCACAUUGCGCCCUCUGGUAUUCCGGGGGGCAUGCCUGUUCGAGCGUCAUUAUAACCACUCAAGCUCUCGCUUGGUAUUGGGGUUCGCGGUUUCGCGGCCCCUAAAAUCAGUGGCGGUGCCUGUCGGCUCUACGCGUAGUAAUACUUCUCGCGAUUGAGUUCGAUAGGUCUACUUGCCAGUAACCCCCAAUUUUUACAGGUUGACCUCGGAUCAGGUAGGGAUACCCGCUGAACUUAAGAAUAUCAAUAAGCGGAGGA